rnacentral:rRNA from 1 species
AUUGAACGCUGGCGGCAUGCUUUACACAUGCAAGUCGAACGGUAACAGGCCUUCGGGUGCUGACGAGUGGCGAACGGGUGAGUAAUGCAUCGGAACGUACCCAGAGGUGGGGGAUAACGCAGCGAAAGCUGUGCUAAUACCGCAUGUGAUCUGAGGUUGAAAGCGGGGGACCGCGCAGCAAUGUUUGGCCUCGCGCCUUUGGAGCGGCCGAUGUCGGAUUAGCUAGUGGGUGGGGUAAAGGCCUACCAAGGCGACGAUCCGUAGCUGGUCUGAGAGGACGACCAGCCACACUGGGACUGAGACACGGCCCAGACUCCUACGGGAGGCAGCAGUGGGGAAUUUUGGACAAUGGGCGCAAGCCUGAUCCAGCAAUGCCGCGUGCGGGAAGAAGGCCUUCGGGUUGUAAACCGCUUUUGGCAGGAACGAAACGGUGUCCGCUAAUACCGGGCGCUAAUGACGGUACCUGCAGAAUAAGCACCGGCUAACUACGUG